CUAAGGCCAACGGGAGAAGGGUUGUUAAGGAACUCGGCAAAUUGACCCCGUAACUUCGGGAGAAGGGGUGCUCCAGAGAUGGAGCCGCAGAGAAUCGGCCCAAGCAACUGUUUACCAAAAACACAGGUUUGUGCUAAAUCGAAAGAUGACGUAUACGAGCUGACGCCUGCCCGGUGCUGGAAGGUUAAGAGGAGAUGUGCAAGCAUUGAAUCGAAGCCCCAGUGAACGGCGGCCGUAACUAUAACGGUCCUAAGGUAGCGAAAUUCCUUGUCAGGUAAGUUCUGACCCGCAUGAAAGGCGUAAUGAUUUGGGCACUGUCUCAACAGCCCGCCCGGCGAAAUUGUAGUACCGGUGAAGAUGCCGGUUACCCGCGACAAGACGGAAAGACCCCAUGGAGCUUUACUGUAGCCUAAUAUUGGGUUUCGAUGUUGCAUGCACAGGAUAGAUGGGACACAGGGAAACAAUCGCUUUGGCGGUUGCGGAGUGGCCGUUGGGAUACCAUCCUUGCGAUAUUGGAAUUCUAACCUGCGGCUCUGAAUCGAGUCGGGGGACAUUGUUAGGUGGGCAGUUUGACUGGGGCGGUCGCCUCCUAAAAAGUAACGGAGGCGUUCAAAGGUUCGCUCAGCUUGAACGGAAAUCAAGCAAAAGAGUGCAAACGCAGAAGCGAGCCUAACUGCGAGACUGACGGGUCGAGCAGUAACGAAAGUUGGAGUUAGUGAUCCGGUGGUAUGUGAGUGGAAAUGCCAUCGCUCAACGGAUAAAAGUUACCCUGGGGAUAACAGGCUGAUCUCCCCCAAGAGUCCACAUCGACGGGGAGGUUUGGCACCUCGAUGUCGGCUCAUCGCAUCCUGGGGCUGUAUUCGGUCCCAAGGGUUUGGCUGUUCGCCAAUUAAAGCGGUACGCGAGCUGGGUUCAGAACGUCGUGAGACAGUUCGGUCCCUAUCUGUCGUGGGCGCAGGAUAUUUGAUGGGAGCUGUCCCUAGUACGAGAGGACCGGGACGGACGUACCUCUGGCGCACCAGUUGUUCCGCCAGGAGCAUAGCUGGGCAACUACGUACGGAUCGGAUAAACGCUGAAAGCAUCUAAGCGUGAAGCCGACCCAAAGAUAAGAUAUCCCACUGAUUUGAUCAGGUAAGAUCCCUUGAAGACUACAAGGUUGAUAGGCACGAUGUGUAAGUGGAGUGAUCCAUUCAGCAAGAGUGUACUAAUAGAUCGAGGGUUUGACCAC
rnacentral:rRNA from 1 species